CUACGGGCCGCACCAGUGGGGAAUAUUGCACAAUGGGGGAAACCCUGAUGCAGCAACGCCGCGUGGAGGAUGACACAUUUCGGUGUGUAAACUCCUUUUAUAUAGGAAGAUAAUGACGGUACUAUAUGAAUAAGCACCGGCUAACUCCGUGCCGGCAGCCGCGGUAAUACGGAGGGUGCAAGCGUUACUCGGAAUCACUGGGCGUAAAGCGCGCGCAGGCGGCCUUUUAAGUUGGAUGUGAAAGCCUAUGGCUUAACCAUAGAACUGCAUCCAAAACUAUCAGGCUAGAGUCUGGGAGGGGAAGAUGGAAUUAGUUGUGUAGGGGUAAAAUCCGUAGAGAUAACUAGGAAUACCAAAAGCGAAGGCGAUCUUCUGGAACAGUACUGACGCUGAGGCGCGAAAGCGUGGGGAGCAAACAGGAUUAGAUACCCGGGUAGUC
rnacentral:rRNA from 1 species